rnacentral:rRNA from 1 species
GACGUAGGGCGCGAGCGUUGUCCGGAUUUAUUGGGCGUAAAGAGCUCGUAGGCGGUUUGUCGCGUCGACUGUGAAAACCCGAGGCUUAACCUCGGGCCUGCAGUCGAUACGGGCAGACUAGAGUUCGGUAGGGGAGACUGGAAUUCCUGGUGUAGCGGUGAAAUGCGCAGAUAUCGGAAGGAACACCAGUGGCGAAAGCGGCUUCCUGGUCCAGCACCGACGUUCAGGCACGAAAGCGUGGGGAGCGAACAGG